rnacentral:lncRNA from 1 species
CGCAAUACCGGUGCAGUGUUGGCCACACAUCAGACCCCCAUGUAAGAGUCUUGGCCAAAGACUGGAACAUGAGAGUGAGAAAAUGAGCCCAGAUUGGCAAGCAGGGAAUGAAUGCUUUGCAAAACUUCAGUGGACUGGGAAUUUAGCUCAGUGGUGCUGCGCCUGCCUUGCAAGCUCAAAGUAGGUGAGCCUUGAGCAAAAGAUAAUUUCAUUGCCCAACUCUAUCAAGUCACCUAGAGGCUGCCAUCGACACUCACCACUGAUAUGGAUGCAUUGAAGCGGACUUAUGUUGGUUUUUAUUCCACUUGGUAUUUUGCCUGGUUGACCUGCUUGAACCAUCUGCACCCUACUGAGCACUGGCUGCUGCUGGCUUGGAGUUCCUGCCAUCUGUACUUGCUGUAGUCCUUCUUUUUGCCUCAGUCUCCCACAGUGCUGAGAUUAAAAGUGUGUACCUCCAUGCUCAACUCUGAUUUUUAAUUAUUGCAUCUUAUUCUAUUAAAAUAUAACCAACAUAAAAUCAGAAAUCAUGUCUGUCUUCACUAUAUUUCCAAUAUUUAAUUCAGUCCUUAAUAUGAAGUAGUUGCUCGGUAGAUUUUCUGGAUGGAUGGAAAUCUAGAUGAAUAGAUUGAUGAAAAGAAGGGAUGGGUUGGUGGGUGGAUGUUUGGAUGAUGGAAGAACAGAUGAUCCAGUAGGAAGUAAGAAUAACUGCAGGAAUGAGAAAGUUGUGCUCCAUAAAUAUUUUCUGGAUAAUUGGAUGCACGGAUACGUUGGUGGCUGGGUGCAAUGAUGGGCGAAAAAGAAUACUUGAUUGGAGGUAAGCCUGGAUGAAGAGCCUCAAGUGGAGGGUUAGAAUUUCAGCUCCUCUUUCCCAGGGGGCGCUGCGGGGCCACUCGCACGGGCCUGGCCUGGCAGAGAGGCGCCGCUCUAGGCUGUAGCCGACGCGAGGCCGCAGUUCCGCAGAGACUGCGGAGCGAGAACUCAGUCCUCCUGCUCCGUCCCGGUCUACAGCCUGUACUCAUGCUGUGCUCUGUGUACCCUGCUGCCUUCCGUCCCGGCAUCCGGCUAAGUCACUCAGGGCGUGCUCUGCGCAAGGCUCCCAAACCUUGCUGUUGAGCCCAAUGGAAACUACCCUGUGGCGGCGCUGCCGGUUCUGCAACAGCCAGCGCCCCUGCUCUCCCCGCCCCACGGACCGGAUGUCCCGAGGUGACAACUUGGUGUAAAUGGGUCAUGAGAGGUGUCCAUCUUGCCAGGAAGCAGCUGGACCAUGGUGCUCCUGAGUGAGGUGUGUUCCCUGGAGGUUGGAGACUUCUGGAGAUUUCAACUGUGAUGUGGUCCAGAAAGCAGAUGGACGUGAGAUGAAGGCACCAUCAUCCUGGCCCCUGGUUUACCCUCCCUGGGGCUUUGAGAUGCAUGUGAUUCCCUUUGGUGUGCAGGUUUGGGUCUGGAAUCAAUAGGGAUCCCUUCCUUCCUUGGGUGUGUUGGCAACAGAAUGUCUGAGUCAAAAGCAGAAAGGAUUUCUCACCUAUACUCAGGUCUUAGCUACUUUGUUUUUGCUUCCUAGCUUUGGGACCUUUUCUCAUCCUCAUUUUCAUCCACUAGAAAGCAGGGAUAUGAUGAGACAGGGUUUUUGGGGUCACAACUCCCUGUUUUCCCUCAAUGUAAGAACUUCUAUCAGCUAGCUAGCUUGCUUUCUUUCUUUCUUUCUUUCUUUCUUUUCUUUCUUUUCUUUCUUUCUUUCUUUUUUGUAGUUUAUUUGAGACACGGUCUCUCUUAUGUAGUUCAGGCUGGCCUUGAACUCACUUUGUAGCCAGGCUGGCCUCCAACCCAUGGCAAUACUCCUGCCUCAGGCUCCCAAGUGCUGGGAUUACAAGCAUGAACAUGCCUAGCUCUCCAACAGUUUUCUUUAGAGGUGUCUUUCUUUUGCCUCCCCUGUAGGGCCACGUUGAAGGAACUUUUGUAGAGUUAGAAACAAUUGUUGUGUCCUUGUGUUUAGUUGGGCUGGCUGCUCAAAGCUUCUGCCACUGGUCUCCUUUUAAAAAACAGCAAGCCCUCUGACCUUUUCUGCCCCUGCAUUCGUAAGUGAUCAGGGGGUGCCCAUUCCCUGGUCAUUGGUAUUGCAGGCAGAGGAAAUACGGAAAGAAUUGUCCUGUGUUUGGAGGGUCUGCGUGCUUGCCUUCCAGUGCUAGGAGCUUUCCCACACUCUUGCUUCUCAUCAUACAGCUUGGGCUUUGGAGCUGCUAUGUGAGCAUUACUGUCAUUGUUGGAACUUUCACUUCCUGCCCCCUGCUUUUGGGAACUAGGCCAUGUGUGUUGCUUAAGUUCCCCUUGACAGCCAGCAGAGUCACUACCACUCAGCCAAUCUGUGGUUAUGUAUUAAUCAGUAUUAGCUACCCUGCCAUAGGCCAUCUCUCUCUCUUUAGUUAACUCUUAUUUUCAUAAAGAAAUAUUGUGUUUGCUUAGGAAGUAAUAGUCACUGCGUUUGGAAUGCCUACUGUCUGGUAACUACUAUGUUAAUUCUUUUCCUGGUGGCUUUCAUGUCCAUGCUGCUGGAUGCUCACCAAUUAUUCCUGUCUCUUGCAGGUGUCCCGGAGUUGUCCUGUCAGGAACACCUUAGACCCCAGUGUCAUUGAGGGCCUAUGGCGAGGCAGAAAUGUCAUUGGCAGAAGGCCUGGUGGAGGAAAGCUGCUUACUUCAUCACAGCCAAGAAGCAGAGAAAGAAAGAAAAAGCCAUGGGGAGGACUUUGAGGUUGAGGGAUGCUGCGCUGGAACUGGAGAUUGCUGAAGGAAGGCCCUGGAAUAGAGGCACUGACCCUGUCAGGAUGAUGAAUGGGGUUCCUGCUCUGAAGGGAUCUCCUCAUGUUGGUUGUGGUGUUGAUUGUGGACACUGGCAUAGCAGAGUGAAGAGUGUCAUUGUCACACGACGCAUUCCAGACCUUAGUGCAGUGGCCUCAGCACAACACAGAGCACCUUUUUACUCUGCAUGAGCAAGCGGAGGGGAAGGCCUGGACUCUGAGGACUUGGGGUCCAGAGGUGGAGACCUUCCAGCUGGUUCUACCCCAUCCCAGCAGAGCCACAGAGCAUCAUAGACGGGAAGACCAGUCUUCCUUCAACUGGCCACCUCCCAGUCUUGCCUACUCCUGGUGUAACUUGUAGACCCAAGAGAUCCUGGUGAAGUUUUCUAUACCCUGCACAACCUCAAUAAAUUGUCCACCUCAAUAAAUUUUGAAACAUGCUGUGCUGUGUAUUUUUUGGGUUUUGUUUGUUUACCAAAAUACCCAUGUGUACCAGCUAGGCUGGGUAUAGAGAAGGUAGUCACAGGGUGAAUCUUCCAGUUUUCACUUACUGAGAAUUCCCACUUAGCAUGCUCCUAAGUGGGAUGUGACCUAGGGAAUUUGAGGUAGGAGGUAGGAUUUGGACUAGAGGUUGAACAAUGCCACAUGCAUCUGGGGGCUCAGGCUUAGGAGAGAAAGAGAACUGUUAAAACUAAGUUGCCUGAGCAACAUUUGGGCCAGGGAUUUGGAAGAGAAGAUGAUAAUGGGUGGAUGAAGAGAUGGAGAUGGUCUGAAGUCCUCAAGAAAGACAGGAGUGUUCUGAGGCUUGAUGGCAAAAGUAUACCAUGCUCUGGAGUGAAUUUAGGAAAACGGUUUUGAGCAAAGGUAGGAGUGGGGUGUAUGAGGAUCAGCUGCCCUUGGAGAACUCUGAGGGUCUAGUAGGCGGUGCCAGGGCCUGGGGUUUCUGUUACCCCAGGUGUAUUUGGUCUUUGGCUGGUAUGUUCAUUAGCAAUGAUGGCAAGGAUGUGCCCAGCAUGCCUGUGUAUUUCUUUUUUUUUUUUUUUUUGGUACCGGGGAUCAAACUCAGGUCCUUGAGCUUCCGAGGCAGGCAACAGAACCACUGAGCUGAAUCCCUGGCCCAUGCA